GUAGGUGGCAAGCGUUGUUCGGAAUUAUUGGGCGUAAAGCGCGCGCAGGCGGUUCUUUAAGUCUGAUGUGAAAGCCCACGGCUCAACCGUGGAGGGUCAUUGGAAACUGGAGAACUUGAGUACAGAAGAGGAAAGCGGAAUUCCACGUGUAGCGGUGAAAUGCGUAGAGAUGUGGAGGAACACCAGUGGCGAAGGCGGCUUUCUGGUCUGUAACUGACGCUGAGGCGCGAAAGCGUGGGGAGCAAACAGGAUUAGAUACCCUGGUAGUCCACGCCGUAAACGAUGAGUGCUAAGUGUUAGGGGGUUUCCGCCCCCCUUAGUGCUGCAGCUAACGCAUUAAGCACUCCGCCUGGGAGUACGGCCGCAAGGCUG
rnacentral:rRNA from 1 species